rnacentral:rRNA from 1 species
ACGGGAGGCAGCAGUGGGGAAUAUUGCACAAUGGGGGAAACCCUGAUGCAGCGACGUCGCGUGAGUGAAGAAGUAUCUCGGUAUGUAAAGCUCUAUCAGCAGGGAAGAAAAUGACGGUACCUGACUAAGAAGCCCCGGCUAACUACGUGCCAGCAGCCGCGGUAAUACGUAGGGGGCAAGCGUUAUCCGGAUUUACUGGGUGUAAAGGGAGCGUAGACGGCGAUGCAAGUCUGAAGUGAAAGGCGGGGGCUAAACCCUUGGACUGCUUUGGAAACUGUAUUGCUAGAGUGCAGGAGAGGUAAGUGGAAUUCCUAGUGUAGCGGUGAAAUGCGUAGAUAAUAGGAGGAACACCAGUGGCGAAGGCGGCUUACUGGACUGUAACUGACGUUGAGGCUCGAAAGCGUGGGGAGCAAACAGGAUUAGAUACCCUGGUA